GUGUCAGCAGCCGCGGUAAAACGUAGGUGGCGAGCGUUAUCCGGAUUCACUGGGCGUAAAGCGAGUGCAGGUGGUUUUGUAAGUUGGAUGUGAAAUUUCCCGGCUUAACCGGGAAGGGUCAUUCAAUACUGCAGGACUUGAGGGCAAAAGAGGGGGGUGGAAUUGCCGGUGUAGUGGUGAAAUGCGUAGAUAUCGGCAGGAACACCUGUGGCGAAAGCGGCCCCCUGGUUUGCUCCUGACACUCAGACUCGAAAGCUAGGGUAGCGAACGGGAUUAGAAACCCGCGUAGUCC
rnacentral:rRNA from 1 species